CAGAUUCUCAAAGCCGUCUUUGAGUGUUAUGCCUAAUAAUUGGUUUCUGUAGCCCAUGGAUCAGCGCAGCUAAGAGGAAUAGGCCUUGACAGAGCCAGGAGGUAGGCAUAGCAGCCACAGGGAGUUAAUGACAGCUAGCAAGCUGGGUAGGACGGAGUCAUAAGGGGAGUAUUUAUACCAGCCAUUAUGUGAAGUGGCCAUUUUAACUGAACCUAAGCUUACCUGUCAGUUGUGAAAGCUGCCUGCCCUGGAGGGAGAAGGCAGCAGCAUGG